rnacentral:lncRNA from 1 species
UGUGAAAUAAAGAAUGGAAAUGAAUAAUGAAAUAGUUCCCGCCAAUCUCGGCUUCCUAAACUCGGGUUAAUAGUGCUUGGUCUAUUGUUCACUAGGCGAAAUUUCGCAAGUGGUCCACGAGAGUGGUCCACGGGAGUGGUCCGUGGUCCACGAGUGUAGUCCAUGGACCAGGUCCACAAAGGUAGUCCAUGGACCUGGGGUCCGCGUUUUGUCGUUUCCCGUAUCUCGGGCACUCGGCCAUUGUAAGAUGGUGAAGAUGUUUUGCCAACAGGUUAUGGGCGAAUUAUAAUUAAUAUGGCAAAUAUUAAAAUAUUUCAGCUGCUACCUGACGUGUAGGACAUGUUACUUGGCGUAUAAACUAAUUCUAUCGUGAUAGUCAUAUCUCCACAUGAAUGACCAAGGCAUUUGUAGUAGGAUACAGGCCAUUCUGUGCUACACUAUACUAUGGUGAUGGCAGUGAUAUCAAAUUACCAUUGGAUCGACAUGAGAACCCAACGUAUAAGAUGUUCUAUAUGCACCCAGAAACGUGUGUCUAUGACAAGAAAAUACAAACUUUUUUCAACUGUAUACUGUAAACCUCUGAAUAAAUGCUCACCUCAUUCCAAAUAUAAGCCCCCCUGAAUAUAUGUCCCCUGAAUAUAAGCCCAGUCCCACUAUGUGAUUUAACAUUGACAUUGUCUUUAAUAUAGCAGAGAACGAUAUUUAAAACACUGUCAUUGUCUUUAUA